UACAGGGGGUGCAAACGUUGCUCGGAAUCAUUGGGCGUAAAGCGCACGUAGGCGGUUCGUUAUGUCGGAUGUGAAAGCCCUUGGCUUAACCGAGGAAGUGCAUCCGAAACUGGCGAGCUAGAGUACGAAAGAGGAUCGCGGAAUUCCCGGUGUAGAGGUGAGAUUCGUAGAUAUCGGAGGAACACCGGUGGCGAAGGCGGCGAUCUGGGUCGAUACUGACGCUGAGGUGCGAAAGCGUGGGGAGCAAACAGG
rnacentral:rRNA from 1 species